GGGUUUUCCCGGCCGCUACCAAAAUCUUUUCAUUUCAACGGACCCGGUUCGUUUGGGGUUUCGACUGUAUGGUAGGGCACACCUAAUGAAGAGCUCGUAUCGUGCACGGAAAUGGUUAGCCGGAUCGGGCUUCAACUUUUUCGGUUCGUAAAAGGCCGGUGCCUGGCUUGGGCUAGGUUUUACUAUGGCUCUCAAUGGGCCUGGCUAGCCCGUUGGGCUUUUCGGCUUGGCUGCUUUUUAGGUUGAAAUGCUAGGCCUGAGGGCUGGACCCUAGCAUUAAGGUUUAAGCCCGUUUGUUGAUCAGGCUGGAUCUUACACCCAAGUGCCUAUCAACUUAGUUCGGUUUGGGCGAA